rnacentral:rRNA from 1 species
GUGACGAGUGGCGGACGGGUGAGUAAUGUCUGGGGAUCUGCCCGAUAGAGGGGGAUAACCACUGGAAACGGUGGCUAAUACCGCAUAACGUCGCAAGACCAAAGAGGGGGACCUUCGGGCCUCUCACUAUCGGAUGAACCCAGAUGGGAUUAGCUAGUAGGCGGGGUAGUGGCCCACCUAGGCGACGAUCCCUAGCUGGUCUGAGAGGAUGACCAGCCACACUGGAACUGAGACACGGUCCAGACUCCUACGGGAGGCAGCAGUGGGGAAUAUUGCACAGUGGGCGCAAGCCUGAUGCACCCAUGCCGCGUGUAUGAAGAAGGCCUUCGGGUUGUAAAGUACUUUCAGCGGGGAGGAAGGCGAUGUGGUUAAUAACCGCGUCGAUUGACGUUACCCGCAAAAGAAGCACCGGCUAACUCCGUGCCAGCAGCCGCGGUAAUACAGAGGGUGCAAGCGUUAAUCGGAAUUACUGGGCGUAAAGCGCACGCACGCGGUCUGUUAAGUCAGAUGUGAAAUCCCCGGGCUUAACCUGGAAACUGCAUUUGAAACU